rnacentral:rRNA from 1 species
UUGGAAAGGGACGCCAGAGAGGGUGAGAGCCCCGUCUAGCACGGACCCUGUUGCACACGAGGCUCUGUCUACGAGUCGGGUUGUUUGGGAAUGCAGCCUUAAGUGGGUGGUAAAUCUCAUCCAGGGCUAAAUACUGGCGAGAGACCGAUAGUGCACAAGUACCGCGAGGGAAAGAUGAAAAGGACUUGAAAAGAGAGUUAAAAAGUGCUUGAAAUUGCUGGGAGGGAAGCGAAUGGAUGCCUUUGUUGCCUGCUGGUUGUGUGCGGAACGGCGUAAAAGCUGGUCUGUCAAUCAACUCAGCGGGCUCGCUAGUGUGGGGGUGGAUGCCGGGAUAAAGGUCCCGGGCUCUUUUGCUUGGGAUUGAUGCCGGUGUCUACUCUGUGGCCUGGGGUGUGCGCCUUUCUGGCGGGCAACCUGCACACCCGGGACGCUGGCGGUUUUAGGUUUUUCAUUCGACCCGUCUUGAAACACGGACCAAGGAGUCUAACAUGUAUGCGAGCCUGCGGGUGUUUACACCUUGCCAGGCGUAAGGAAACUGAUGUGUGGGAUCCCCUUCGGGGGUGCACCACCGACCGACCAUGAGCUUUUGCGAAAGGUUCGAGUGUAAGCAUACCUGCUGGGACCCGAAAGAUGGUGAACUAUGCCUGGGCAGGGCGAAGCCAGAGGAAACUCUGGUGGAGGCUCGUAGCGAUACUGACGUGCAAAUCGUUCGUCAGACUUGGGUAUAGGGGCGAAAGACUAAUCGAACCAUCUAGUAGCUGGUUCCCUCCGAAGUAUCCCUCAGGAUAGCUGGAGCUCAAAUUGAGAGUUUUAUCAGGUAAAGCGAAUGAUUAGAGGCAUUGGGGGUGAAACACCCUCGACCUAUUCUCAAACUUUAAAUAGGUAAGGUGUCGGGGUUGCUCCGGCUGAACCCCGACCUUUGAAUCUGAGCUCCAAGUGGGCCAUUUUUGGUAAGCAGAACUGGCGAUGCGGGAUGAACCGAAAGUCGAGCUAUGGUGCCAAAGUGCGCGC